UGCCGGGGUGGGGGAAUUGGCAGACCCGCCGCACUUAAAAUGCGGUGUCAUUGUGACGUACGGGUUCGAGUCCCGUUCUCGGUAU
rnacentral:tRNA from 1 species